UUUACUGUGUUCAACGUAUUUUCUCUGUAAUGCAUUUACGUUAAGAAUAAAUGUGCUUGCUUAGAAGGAGCUUUAUGGUAACUUACAACUACAGGCAAUACAUGGGUCAGAGCUUCCUCAGAGAGAGAGCAAAGCACAAGUGCCAACUUUUUAGGCAGUCUGCUUACUCAGGCUAUCACAGUGUAAGGCAUGGAUCUGUGCAGCCUUAAAACUCCUGGUCAGAAAGGAGUGAGACACAAGUCUCUGCCCAUGAGAGACAAUGUCUGAGAGCCAAAAGCCUAAAACGUGUGCCCUUGGUGGAUCAAAAGGACGAUUACAGGUACAGUUGCCCUGAAACUGUGACAAAGCCCAGGGACCAUGUUAUCAUGAAAGCAUCAGAUAGGAAUCCCUAAUUAUGUCCUCUCUGGAGCAGAGUUUUUGAUAUUUCUCAUUUUCUUUGGUGGCAAAGAAGUAUGUGGUGCAAUAACCCCACUUCAGAAAUAAGUCUUGGAUUAUGCUGUUACUGACCACUUGUGGGCACUUGAAAAUUGUCUGCUGAGGUGAUCUGUCAUAAUGUUCUGUAAUCCUGAUAAAUGUACUGCUAUCAGAGUAAUUUCAUGGUGGAUACAAAAGUUCUAUAGAUAUACAGCCUCCUGACAUAGAGAAGUACAUCUUGAUCCCCUUUGCUUGUUAUAUAAAACAUGGCUAUAGUAGUGUCCAUCAUUUGAAUUAUCAGUCCUUUCAGAAACAGGAAGAAAGCUGUGCAUGCCCGAUAAAUGGCUUUCAGCUCAAAGACAUUUAUGUGGAGUCAUGUUUCCCCAGAAGUCCAAGUACACUGUGUUUUGAAGAUUGUCCAAAUGGGUUCCUCAUCCUAAUGUGGAGACAUCUAUCACUAACAUCUUUGAACUCCCUCUCAGAAUUUCAGAGGAUCCUUCCACCAAUUUAAUGAUUAUGGUCCUUCUGAUGGAACACAGACUAACAUAUCCAUGUGUGCUUGGUCGAUACACAGACUUUAACUACCCUUUCAUGCAAUGAGAUUGAAGUCUGGAAUGCUGAGUUACAUAGGUACAAGAGGCGAUGUAAGCUCUCAGACUGAGAUAAUUUCUCGACGAUAUCCUAGAGUGAGUGUGUAGGUGGGCAGAUAGAUUUGAAUAGGACUUCUAAUCUUUC